rnacentral:tRNA from 1 species
GGGUCAAGGGAUGGGAAUCGAACCCACGACCUUCCGCUUACCGGGCAGAUGCCAUGACCACUAGGCCACAUGACC